rnacentral:rRNA from 1 species
AAAGGAGACUGCCAGUGAUAAACUGGAGGAAGGUGGGGAUGACGUCAAGUCAUCAUGGCCCUUACGACCAGGGCUACACACGUGCUACAAUGGCGCAUACAGAGAGAAGCGACCUCGCGAGAGCAAGCGGACCUCAUAAAGUGCGUCGUAGUCCGGAUUGGAGUCUGCAACUCGACUCCAUGAAGUCGGAAUCGCUAGUAAUCGUGGAUCAGAAUGCCACGGUGAAUACGUUCCCGGGCCUU